rnacentral:rRNA from 1 species
GAUGAACGCUGGCGGCGUGCCUAAUACAUGCAAGUCGAGCGGUAAGGCCCUUCGGGGUACACGAGCGGCGGACGGCUGAGUAGCGCGUAGGAACGUACCCCAAAGUGAGGAAUAAGCACCAGAAAUGGUGUCUAAUACCGCAUGUGGUCUUCGGAUUAAAGCCUUCGGGCGCUUUGGGAGCGGCCUGCGUAUGAUUAGCUUGUUGGUGAGGUAAUGGCUCACCAAGGCGACGAUCAUUAGCUGGUCUGAGAGGAUGAUCAGCCAGACUGGGACUGAGACACGGCCCAGACUCCUACGGGAGGCAGCAGUAGGGAAUUUUCCACAAUGGACGAAAGUCUGAUGGAGCAACGCCGCGUGCAGGAUGAAUGCCUUCGGGUUGUAAACUGCUUUUAUAGGUGAAGAUUAUGACGGUAACCUAUGAAUAAGGAUCGGCUAACUCCGUGCCAGCCGCCGCGGUAA